UACAGAGGUCCCAAGCGUUGUUCGGAUUCAUUGGGCGUAAAGGGUGCGUAGGCGGCGCGGUAAGUCGGGUGUGAAAUCUCGGAGCUUAACUCCGAAACUGCAUUCGAUACUGCCGUGCUUGAGGACUGGAGAGGAGACUGGAAUUUACGGUGUAGCGGUGAAAUGCGUAGAUAUCGUUUGGAACGCCAGUGGUGAAAACGGGUCGCUGGGGACAUGCUGACGCUGAGACACGAAAGCCAGGGGAGCAAACGGG
rnacentral:rRNA from 1 species